GGGCCUGUAGCUUAGUUGGUUAGAGCGCCUGGCUCAUAACCAGGCGGUCGCCGGUUCGAAUCCGGUCAGGCCCA
rnacentral:tRNA from 1 species